GCUGGGCGUGGUGGUGCAUGCCUGUAAUCCCAGCUACUUGGGAGGCUGAGGCAGGAGAAUUGCUUGAACCUGGGAGAUGGAGGUUGUGGUGAGCCGAGAUCGCGCCAUUGCACUCCAGCCUGGGCAACAAGAGUGAAACUCCAUCUCAGAAAAAUAAAAAUAAAAUAAAAGACAAGAUCUCACUCUGUCACCCAGGCUGAGUGCAGUGGCACAAUUAUAGCUCAUUGCAGCCUCGAACUCCUAGGGUCAAGCGAUCCUCCUGCCUCA
rnacentral:sRNA from 1 species